rnacentral:rRNA from 1 species
UUAAGCCUGCAUGUCUCAGUAUAAGCUUCUAUACGGCGAAACUGCGAAUGGCUCAUUAAAACAGUUAUAGUUUAUUUGGUGGUCAGCAAUUGCAUGGAUAACCGUGGUAAUUCUAGAGCUAAUACAUGCGUCCAAACCCGACUUCGUGGAAGGGUUGUGUUUAUUAGAUACAGAACCAACCCAGGCUCCGCCUGGCCUUGAGGUGAUUCAUAAUAACCGAACGAAUCGCAUGGCUAUGCCGGCGAUAGACCAUUCAAGUUUCUGACCUAUCAGCUAUCGUCGGUAGGGUAUUGGCCUACCGUGGCAAUGACGGGUAACGGAGAAUUAGGGUUCGAUUCCGGAGAGGGAGCCUGAGAAACGGCUACCACAUCUAAGGAAGGCAGCAGGCGCGCAAAUUACCCAAUCCUGACGCAGGGAGGUAGUGACAAGAAAUAACAAUACAGGGCAUACAUGUCUUGUAAUUGGAAUGAGUAAACUUUAAAUCACUUUACGAGUAUCAAUUGGAGGG